rnacentral:rRNA from 1 species
GACGAACGCUGGCGGCGUGCCUAAUACAUGCACGUCGAACGCAGUGGGGACGGGUGAGUAACACGUGGGUAACCUCCCAUCAGAGGGGAUAACACUUGGAAACAGGUGCUAAACCGAUACAGAUGGAUUGGCCCGCGGUGCAUUAGCUAGUUGGGUAGGUAACGGCUCACCAAGGCAACGAUGACUCGCCUCCCGGAGAUUGGUAUCGGCCAGACUGCGACGGAGACGCGGCCCAGCCUCCUACUUGAGGCAGCACUAGGGAAUCUUCGGCAAUGGACGAAGGUCUGACCGAGCAACGCAGCUUGAGUGAAGAAGGUUUUCGGAUCGUAAAACUCUGUUGUUAGAGAAGCGGUAUCUAACCAGAAAGCCACAGCUAACUACGUGCCAGCAGCCGCGGUAAUAC